GAUGAAGAACGUAGCGAAAUGCGAUAAGUAAUGUGAAUUGCAGAAUUCAGUGAAUCAUCGAAUCUUUGAACGCACCUUGCGCCCUUUGGCCAUUCCGAAGGGCAUGCCUGUUUGAGUAUCCUGAACACCUCAACUCUUCAUGGUUUUCCAUGAUGAGCUUGGACUUUGGGGGUCUUGCUGGCCUGUGGGUCGGCUCCUCUCAAAUGAAUCAGCUUGCCGGUUUUUGGUGGGCAUCACAGGUGUGAUAACUAUCUACGCUUGUGGUUUUCCACCAGGGUAACCUUCAGCAGUGGAGGUUCACUGGAGCUUACAAAUGUCUCUCCUCUGUGAGGACAGCCCUUUGAAUGUUUGAUCUCAAAUCAGGUAGGACUACCCGCUGAACUUAAGCAUAUCAAUAAGCGGAGGA
rnacentral:misc_RNA from 1 species